AUAGUUUUUUGACAUUAGCUUUCAUAAAAAUUUUAAAUCUUAGUUUAAUAAUAUUUGCUAUGUUCUCUAUUUGAGAACUGUAUAUUCAAUGGAUUUUUGAAACAGGGAACUGAGUUAGGGGCUUACUCCAUCCGUCCCAUGCAUCACUCUGGUAUUGCUGUGUGUCCAGGAGUGAUGUACUUUCC